UACGUAUGGUGCAAGCGUUAUCCGGAAUGACUGGGUGUAAAGGGAGCGUAGACGGUUGUACAAGUCUGAUGUGAAAGCCCACGGCUCAACUGUGGGAGUGCAUUGGAAACUGUAGAACUAGAGUAUCGGAGAGGCAAGUGGAAUUCCUAGUGUAGCGGUGAAAUGCGUAGAUAUUAGGAGGAACACCAGUGGCGAAGGCGGCUUGUUGGACGAAAACUGACGUUGAGGCUCGAAAGCGUGGGGAGCAAACAGG
rnacentral:rRNA from 1 species